GACGAACGCUGGCGGCGCGCCUAACACAUGCAAGUCGAACGAGCGAGAGAGAGCUUGCUUUCUCGAGCAAGUGGCGAACGGGUGAGUAACGCGUGAGGAACCUGCCUCAAAGAGGGGGACAACAGUUGGAAACGACUGCUAAUACCGCAUAAGCCCACGGUGCCGCAUGGCACAGAGGGAAAAGGAGCAAUCCGCUUUGAGAUGGCCUCGCGUCCGAUUAGCUAGUUGGUGAGGUAAUGGCCCACCAAGGCAACGAUCGGUAGCCGGACUGAGAGGUUGAACGGCCACAUUGGGACUGAGACACGGCCCAGACUCCUACGGAGGCAGCAGUGGGGAAUAUUGCACAAUGGGGAAACCUGAUGCAGCGACGCCGCGUGGAGGAAGAAGGUCUUCGGAUUGGUAAACUCCUGUUGUUGGGGAAG
rnacentral:rRNA from 1 species